AGAGAGAUAGCUGGGUCAAAUGGUGGUUCCAUUCCCAGAUUUCCAAGGAAUCUCCAUACUGCUCUCCAUAUUGGCUGCACCAAUUUGCAGUCCCACCAGCAAU
rnacentral:pre_miRNA from 1 species